rnacentral:rRNA from 1 species
AGGGGGACCUUCGGGCCUCUUGCCAUCGGAUGUGCCCAGAUGGGAUUAGCUAGUAGGUGGGGUAACGGCUCACCUAGGCGACGAUCCCUAGCUGGUCUGAGAGGAUGACCAGCCACACUGGAACUGAGACACGGUCCAGACUCCUACGGGAGGCAGCAGUGGGGAAUAUUGCACAAUGGGCGCAAGCCUGAUGCAGCCAUGCCGCGUGUAUGAAGAAGGCCUUCGGGUUGUAAAGUACUUUCAGCGGGGAGGAAGGGAGUAAAGUUAAUACCUUUGCUCAUUGACGUUACCCGCAGAAGAAGCACCGGCUAACUCCGUGCCAGCAGCCGCGGUAAUACGGAGGGUGCAAGCGUUAAUCGGAAUUACUGGGCGUAAAGCGCACGCAGGCGGUUUGUUAAGUCAGAUGUGAAAUCCCCGGGCUCAACCUGGGAACUGCAUCUGAUACUGGCAAGCUUGAGUCUCGUAGAGGGGGGUAGAAUUCCAGGUGUAGCGGUGAAAUGCGUAGAGAUCUGGAGGAAUACCGGUGGC